AUUGAACGCUGGCGGCAGGCCUAACACAUGCAAGUCGAACGAGUGGCGGACGGGUGAGUAAUGUCUGUGAAACUGCCCGAUGGAGGGGGAUAACUACUGGAAACGGUAGCUAAUCCCGCAUACCAUCGGAUGUGCCCAGAUGGGAUUAGCUAGUAGGGGGGGUAACGGCUCACCUAGGCGACGAUCCCUAGCUGGUCUGAGAGGAUGACCGGCCACACGGGAACGGGGACACGGCCCAGACUCCUAGGGGAGGAAGAAGUGGGGAAUAUUGCAAAAUGGGGGCAAGCCUGAUGCAGCCAGGCCGCGUGUAUGAAGAAGGCCUUCGGGUUGUAAAGUACUUUCAGCGGGGAGGCGUUACCCGCAGAAGAAGGACCGGCUAACUCCGUGCCAGCAGCCGCGGUAAUAC
rnacentral:rRNA from 1 species